rnacentral:lncRNA from 1 species
CCCCAUCAGUCAAAAAUAUAUACUCAUGAGUAAAAUAUCUAGUAGAAGUCAGUCUCUCUCUACUAGAUCUCCUCAAAGGUGCUGGCUCUGUAGGUACCUGCUUAUCAAGUUGCUCAGGGACUGCUUCAUUAGCUGUAGGAGACUCAUCAAGUGUAGCAAAAAAAUAAUGCCCUACAAGCCAAUCACAUAUGUGAUGUGAUAUUUUUUUAUAUUUUAUCUUUCAAACUCAU